GAUGAACGCUAGCUACAGGCUUAACACAUGCAAGUCGAGGGGCAGCGGGAUUGAAGCUUGCUUCAAUUGCCGGCGACCGGCGCACGGGUGAGUAACGCGUAUCCAACCUUCCGUACACUCAGGGAUAGCCUUUCGAAAGAAAGAUUAAUACCUGAUGGUAUGAUGAGAUUGCAUGAUAUCAUCAUUAAAGAUUUAUCGGUGUACGAUGGGGAUGCGUUCCAUUAGGUAGUAGGCGGGGUAACGGCCCACCUAGCCAACGAUGGAUAGGGGUUCUGAGAGGAAGGUCCCCCACAUUGGAACUGAGACACGGUCCAAACUCCUACGGGAGGCAGCAGUGAGGAAUAGUGGUCAAGGGACGAGAGUCUGAACCAGCCAAGUAGCGUGAAGGAUGAAGGUCCUACGGAUUGUAAACUUCUUUUAUAAGGGAAUAAACCCUCCCACGUGUGGGAGCUUGGAGGUACCUUAUGAAUAAGCAUCGGCUAACUCCGUG
rnacentral:rRNA from 1 species